rnacentral:rRNA from 1 species
AUACGGAGGGUGCAAGCGUUAAUCGGAAUUACUGGGCGUAAAGCGUACGUAGGCGGUUCGUUAAGUUAGAUGUGAAAGCCCCGGGCUUAACCUGGGAACUUCAUUUAAAACUGGCGGACUAGAGUUGAGUAGAGGGGAGUGGAAUUUCAGGUGUAGCGGUGAAAUGCGUAGAGAUCUGAAGGAACACCAGUGGCGAAGGCGACUCCCUGGACUCGAGCUGACGCUGAGGUACGAAAGCGUGGGUAGCAAACGGGAUUAGAAACCCCAGUAGUCC